CUACGUGCCAGCAGCCGCGGUAAUACGUAGGUGGCAAGCGUUGUCCGGAAUUAUUGGGCGUAAAGCGCGCGCAGGCGGAUUGGUCAGUCUGUCUUAAAAGUUCGGGGCUUAACCCCGUGAUGGGAUGGAAACUGCCAAUCUAGAGUAUCGGAGAGGAAAGUGGAAUUCCUAGUGUAGCGGUGAAAUGCGUAGAUAUUAGGAAGAACACCAGUGGCGAAGGCGACUUUCUGGACGAAAACUGACGCUGAGGCGCGAAAGCCAGGGGAGCGAACGGGAUUAGAUACCCUGGUAGUCCACGCCGUAAACGAUGAGUGCUAGGUGUUGGAUCCUUUCCGGGAUUCAGUGCCGCAGCUAACGCAUUAAGCACUCCGCCUGGGGAGUACGACCGCAAGGUUGAAACUCAAAGGAAUUGACGGGGGCCCGCACAAGCGGUGGAGCAUGUGGUUUAAUUCGAAGCAACGCGAAGAACCUUACCAGGUCUUGACAUCCCGAUGCUAUUUCUAGAGAUAGAAAGUUA
rnacentral:rRNA from 1 species